CAGAAUGGGGAACUUGCACUGGAUUUUGUGGACAUUUCUGUUUAAUUCUUUACAAACACACCCUUUAGACACUUUUCAAAGCAAAGUGGGGACAUCCAGAUGGGUGAUUGAACUACAUAAUGAAAGUCAUAUUCCUCUUCUAGCAAAGGAGAUGAAGUUAAAAAGUGUUAGAAAGAUGUUUGGGAACCAUUUUCGCAUUGACUUCGGGAAUGG